UACGUAGGGACCGAGCGUUGUCCGGAAUCAUUGGGCGUAAAGAGCGUGUAGGCGGCCACUUAAGUCCUGCGUGAAAUCUUGCGGCUCAACCGCAAGCGGUCGUGGGAAACUGGGUGGCUAGAGUGCGGGAGAGGAGAGUGGAAUUCCUGGUGUAGCCGUGGAAUGCGCAGAUAUCAGGAAGAACACCCGUGGCGAAGGCGGCUCGCUGGAACGCAACUGACGCUGAGACGCGAAAGCGUGGGGAGCGAACAGG
rnacentral:rRNA from 1 species